CAUUUUGGAAUUCCUCCUGUACACGAGGGAGAAAUUGAAGACAUGUCCUGGAAAAGGAGGGCAUCUGGGAGGCAUCUGCCCUCGCUGGAAUCAGGAAGGGGCGCAGCUUGCGUAUCAGCCAAAGCUGAUAACAGGUGCUCCUGACCAUCGCAUCCACCUGAGCUGUCAUUUGAAGUGACGAGUCGAGGAGCAUCCCCAAACUGUGGACAGAGUCCUUCAGGGGAAGUGGGACCCCGUCCAGAACAGGCUGACAUAUCUCCAUUCCUGGAUUUGGGGUCACUAUAACAAGUACCUCCAUGUUGUGUGUGUGUGUAUAGUGUUUAGCAUAUUUUAUUCAAAGCACAAAAGCAACACAUUAAGUGCCACAUUUUUUCCAAAAAAGUUUUUCAAAGGGGCUCAUCUUACAAUCUAAUUGCAAGAAGAAAAGAAAUUCUUAUGAACCACAUGAUGACAAAUUUAAUCCGUGUUCUGCUAACAAUAAAAUAUGUUGGUGUUUUCUAGUCUUCUUUUGAGAAAAACCUUCACAGAACCAAUUACAUAUACCUAAAAAAUUACAAAGUAAAACCUUAGAAUAUUCAAUACAGAAAUAAUUAAAAUUAACAUAACAUUGAAAGUAGCAGGCCUCUAAAAACAAAGUAAGACAUGGAUGCUAAAGUAUCAUCAGGUGACAACCCUAAUAGCUGCAGUGGAGGAAUUUCUAGCUAGCAGACAAAAUCUCUGUCAAGAGAAAUCCACUUUUUUUCCCCUUUCCUUUUCUCUCUCUCUCCAAAUAUCCCAGCUGUUCUACAUAUACUAAAGGUGUGAAUAAUGUAGCCCUCCAGACCUUGU